GAUGAACGCUGGCGGCGUGCCUAACACAUGCAAGUCGAGCGAUCUUCUUCGGAAGAGAGCGGCGGACGGGUGAGUAACGCGUGGGUAACCUGCCCUGUACACACGGAUAACAUACCGAAAGGUAUGCUAAUACGAGAUAAUAUGUUUUUGUCGCAUGGUAGAGGUAUCAAAGCUUUUGCGGUACAGGAUGGACCCGCGUCUGAUUAGCUAGUUGGUAAGGUAACGGCUUACCAAGGCGACGAUCAGUAGCCGACCUGAGAGGGUGAUCGGCCACAUGGGAACUGAGACACGGUCCAAACUCCUACGGGAGGCAGCAGUGGGGAAUACUGCACGAUGGGCGAAAGCCUGAUGCAGCAACGCCGCGUGAGCGAUGAAGGCCUUCGGGUCGUAAAGCUCUGUCCUCAAGGAAGAUAAUGACGGUACUUGAGGAGGAAGCCCCGGCUAACUACGUGCCAGCCGCCGCCGUAAAAC
rnacentral:rRNA from 1 species